rnacentral:lncRNA from 14 species
CAACCCCCACCCCAACCCCGGGCCACAGUUGUGGGUUCCACUUAGACCACGUGAGGCUGUUUACCGGAGGCGGAAGCACACAGAGAAAGCAGACGCUUCUGGAAAACAACUUGUUUUGGAGCACAGAGUUCUGAAGUUCCUUCCAAUAAGAGCGUUUGUGUGGAAGGGAGCUGGCAAGACUGGAACUAUAGUUGUCCUGCCGUAAAGGUUCUGGAAGAGCAGCUUGUCUCAGCCUGUCUCCUUUUCGCCCUCUACAUUGUUUUGCUUUCAGUCAUGCAGAAAGAGGAAGAUGUCUGCCCCGAGGCUGGCUACUGUUUGGGGACCGCCCUGAGCUCCUGGGGGCUGCAUUUCAUGGAGGAGCAUUCCCAGUCUACCAUGCUGAUGGGCAUUGGAAUAGGCGUCCUCCUUACGCUGGCCUUCGUUGGUCUCGCCGCCUUUUUCGUGUACAGAAAAGUGAGCAGAUUCCGACGAGCAGAACCCACUCCUCAGUACAGAUUCCGGAAGAGAGACAAAGUUAUGUUUUAUGGCCGGAAGAUCAUGAGGAAGGUGACCACACUCCCCCAUACCUUGGUUGGGAAUACCGCUGCACCCCGGCAGCGAGUAAGGAAGAGGACCAAAGUGCUCUCUUUGGCCAAGAGGAUUCUGCGCUUUAAGAAAGAAUAUCCUACUUUGCAGCCAAAAGAGCCCCCACCCUCCCUGCUCGAGGCUGACCUCACCGAGUUUGAUGUGAAGAACUCUCAUCUGCCGUCUGAAGUUUUGUACAUGUUGAAGAAUGUUCGGGUUCUAGGCCACUUUGAGAAGCCACUAUUCUUGGAACUUUGUAAACACAUGGUCUUUGUGCAACUGCAAGAGGGGGAGCAUGUAUUCCAACCUGGGGAGCCUGACAUCAGCAUCUAUGUGGUUCAGGAUGGACGGCUGGAGGUCUGCAUCCAAGAUGCUGAUGGCACCGAGGUGGUGGUCAAAGAGGUCCUGCCAGGGGACAGUGUCCACAGUCUCCUCAGCAUUUUGGAUGUGAUCACUGGUCACACGGCACCGUACAAAACAGUUUCUGCCCGUGCAGCCGUUGCAUCCACUGUCCUCUGGCUUCCUGCGGCAGCUUUUCAAGGAGUUUUUGAGAAAUACCCUGAAACUCUGGUGAGGGUUGUGCAGAUCAUCAUGGUACGGCUGCAGCGGGUGACUUUCCUGGCUCUGCACAACUACCUGGGGCUGACUACCGAGCUCUUCAACCCUGAGAGCCAAGCCAUCCCUCUCUUGUCAGUAGCAAGUGUGGCUGGACGAGCCAAGAGACAGAUGUCAUAUGGUCCAGAGGAGCAGCUUGAGAGGUCCCCAAGACUGUCGGAGUUCAACAGCUCAGAUCAGAGGAGCGUGGCAGUCUCUGGACCUCUGCUGAAGAGGAGCUGCUCUGUGCCUCUGCCUCCCAUCCAUGGCGAGAUAGAUGAGCUCAGGCAGGCCCAAGGAAGUGGCUCUAACACUUCAGCCUUCCAAGAAAGCCAGGAAGGGGCCACCUCAGACCUGGGGAUGGCAUACAACCGUGCCAGGAUUUUGCCACACUCAGAGGAGCAACUUGGGAGCUCUUUGGCCAGCAAGUCCAAGAAAAGCGUUGUUGCAGAGACCUCUGCCGUCUUCCACUACUCGGAGAAGCCCAGGGAUGAGCCUGGGCCUAGCGGGAGGACAGAUGCUAUCUUCAGGGCUGCCACAAAGGACCUCCUAACCCUGAUGAAGCUGGAUGACCCAUCCCUAUUGGAUGGCCGGGUGGCAUUUCUUCAUGUUCCUGCAGGCACCAUAGUGUCAAAACAGGGAGACCAGGAUGUCAACAUUUUGUUUGUGGUCUCGGGGAUGCUGCAUGUGUACCAGCAAAAGAUUGACAGCCUGGAGGACACUUGCCUGUUUCUCACCCAUCCUGGGGAGAUGGUGGGGCAACUGGCAGUGCUCACUGGAGAGCCCCUAAUGUUCACCAUCAGAGCCAACCGGGACUGCAGCUUUCUGUCCAUCUCGAAGGCCCACUUCUAUGAGUGAGUCUUCUCAUUCCCUUUCUGUCCUGGGUCCUCCGUCUCUGAGGGCUCUCAGGGAUAGGCCUGCCGCUGGCUGCCCUGGCUCUUUAGCUCAGUAGCUGCAUACACUGCUACCCAUACACAGGUUCAGUCAUUCAUUCAGAGAGCCUCCGUGUGGCUUAUGAUAUCUGACAUUUGCUACUUUCUCUGUUGCUGUAUGGCUCUCACCCAGUCAUAUCUCGUUGUCUGUACAUUCUGUGGCCACACAUAUCAGGGGAUAGAGCUGGAAUUAGUGUCUGGCUCAUUACUUAGAAGCCUGUUCACAGUGGAGUAGGUCUGGAUGGAAAGCAUGAUGGUCAUGGAGUGGAGUGGCUUGUUCACUCUCCUUCCUUAAGUCAGAAGAGGUGGGUUUUGUUGUUGUGGUUGUUUUGGGAUGGGCUUUCUCUUUGUAGCCUUAAUUGUCCUGGAACUCAUUCUGUAGAGCAGGCUGGCCUCAAACUCACAGAGAUCCCCCUGCCUCUGCCUCCUGAGUGCUGAGAUUAAAGUCAUGUGCCACCACCGUUCAGUAUAGGUUGUUACAUAGAACUUGGAUCUACCCAUCUACCAAAUAUGUCCUUUACCUCCAGUGAUGUCCUCCUCAGCCUGUCUGAGAGACCAUAGGCUGCGUCUUCUGCUGACCUUUCUUUCUUUCUUUCUUUUUUUU